rnacentral:tRNA from 1 species
ACAAUGUUAACUUAAGUUUAAAGUGUUAGAUUUUUAAUCUAAAAAUGCCUUGCACGUUGUAU